rnacentral:rRNA from 1 species
UACGUAGGGUGCAAGCGUUGUCCGGAAUUAUUGGGCGUAAAGAGCUCGUAGGCGGUUUGUCGCGUCGGCUGUGAAAACCCGGGGCUCAACCCCGGGCCUGCAGUCGAUACGGGCAAACUAGAGUGUGGUAGGGGAGACUGGAAUUCCUGGUGUAGCGGUGAAAUGCGCAGAUAUCAGGAAGAACACCCGUGGCGAAAGCGGCUCUCUGGAACGGUACUGACGCUGAGACGCGAAAGCGUGGGGAGCGAACAGG